rnacentral:rRNA from 1 species
GAUGAACGCUGGCGGCGUGCCUAAUACAUGCAAGUCGAGCGAACAGACGAGGAGCUUGCUCCUCUGACGUUAGCGGCGGACGGGUGAGUAACACGUGGAUAACCUACCUAUAAGACUGGGAUAACUUCGGGAAACCGGAGCUAAUACCGGAUAAUAUAUUGAACCGCAUGGUUCAAUAGUGAAAGACGGUUUUGCUGUCACUUAUAGAUGGAUCCGCGCCGCAUUAGCUAGUUGGUAAGGUAACGGCUUACCAAGGCAACGAUGCGUAGCCGACCUGAGAGGGUGAUCGGCCACACUGGAACUGAGACACGGUCCAGACUCCUACGGGAGGCAGCAGUAGGGAAUCUUCCGCAAAGGGCGAAAGCCUCACGGAGCAACGCCGCGUGAGUGAUGAAGGUCUUCGGAUCGUAAAACUCUGUUAUUAGGGAAGAACAAAUGUGUAAGUAACUAUGCACGUCUUGACGGUACCUAAUCAGAAAGCCACGGCUAACUACGUG